ACGUAGGAGGCGAGCGUUAUCCGGAUUUACUGGGCGUAAAGGGUCCGUAGGCGGCUUUGUGCGUCGGUGUCAAAUCUUGGAGCUCAACUCCAAGACCGCCAUCGAUACGGCAAGGCUCGAGCAUGGGAGAGGUACGCGGAAUUGCCGGUGUAGUAGUAAAAUGCGUUAAUAUCGGCAAGAACACCAAAUGCGAAGGCAGCGUACUGGAACAUUGCUGACGCUCAGGGACGAAAGCGUGGGGAGCGAAAGG
rnacentral:rRNA from 1 species